CCCAUGUUUACUCCUGCUGGUCUUUUUUUUAGAGAAGGCGAAAAGUUGGAUUCAAAUGUAUUUUGCGAGUGUCGACAUUUUAAUUGUUCCUAGAUCUUGUAACUCUUGUGCCAACGAGUUAGCAAAACUUGGCUUCAGUACAACGAGUUAGAUCUUGUCUGAUCGGUUGCACCUUUUUGCACAUCUGUCUCUGUCUGUGCUCCCCUGAUGU
rnacentral:lncRNA from 1 species